AUUUGGGCUACCGUAUAAGGCUGCUAAUACCCAUAAGAACUACUAUAUGCUUUGGUGGUAGUCAAACUGCGGAUCGAAAGGUUCCAUUAUCUCCGAGAGGGGUCAAUGUCCUAUCACUUGUUGGUGGGGUAACGGCCUACCAAGGCGAAGACGGGUAGCCGGCACUGAGAGGGUGGUCGGCCACACUGGGACUGAGACACUGCCCAGACUCCUACGGGAGGCUGCAGUCGAGAAUCAUUCGCAAUGCCCGAAAGGUGACGAAUCGACGCCGCUGCGGGAAGAAGGCCUUCGGGUUGUAAACCUAUGUCGGGAGUUAGGAAGUGCAAGGAUGUUAAUAGUAUUCUUGCUUGACUAAGGCUCCGGAGGACCCACGGCUAACUCUGUGCCAGCAGCCGCGGUAAUACAGAGGCGGCAAGCGUUGUUCGGAAUUAUUGGGCGUAAAGAGCACUAGCGGCUGUGUAAGUCGGUUGUGAAAGCCUUCCGCUUAACGGAAGAACGGCAUAUACUGCAUAGCUUCGAGUGCGGGAGGGAAGAGUGGAACUUCUG
rnacentral:rRNA from 1 species